GGGGAAUUUUCCGCAAUGGGCGAAAGCCUGACGGAGCAAUACCGCGUGAGGGAGGAAGGUUUUUGGAUUGUAAACCUCUUUUUUAAAGGAAGAAGAAAGUGACGGUACUUUAAGAAUAAGCAUCGGCUAACUCCGUGCCAGCAGCCGCGGUAAUACGGAGGAUGCAAGCGUUAUCCGGAAUCAUUGGGCGUAAAGCGUCCGCAGGUGGUUAAUCAAGUCUGCUGUUAAAGACAGAAGCUCAACUUCUGGUCGGCAGUGGAAACUGGUGAACUAGAGUACGGUAGGGGUUGAGGGAAUUCCCAGUGUAGCGGUGAAAUGCGUAGAUAUUGGGAAGAACACCAGUGGCGAAGGCGCUCAACUGGGCCGUAACUGACACUCAGGGACGAAAGCUAGGGUAGCGAAAGGGAUUAGAUACCCCUGUAGUCUUAGCUGUAAACGAUGAACACUAGGCGUUGCUUGUAUCGACCCGAGCAGUGCCGUAGCCAACGCGUUAAGUGUUCCGCCUGGGGAGUACGCACGCAAGUGUG
rnacentral:rRNA from 1 species